rnacentral:rRNA from 1 species
UACGUAGGGUGCAAGCGUUAAUCGGAAUUACUGGGCGUAAAGCGUGCGCAGGCGGUCUUGCAAGACAGAUGUGAAAUCCCCGGGCUCAACCUGUGAACUGCAUUUGUGACUGCAAGGCUGGAGUGCGGCAGAGGGGGAUGGAAUUCCGCGUGUAGCAGUGAAAUGCGUAGAUAUGCGGAGGAACACCGAUGGCGAAGGCAAUCCCCUGGGCCUGCACUGACGCUCAUGCACGAAAGCGUGGGGAGCAAACAGG